AUCUGUAUGUAAUUAUAUUUACUGUACAUAUUAAUUAAGUUAAAAGUUUUUCUCAUGUGUCUAAUAGUUCAUUUUAAUUGAUCGAUUGAGUUAAGUGAACAGAUUAAGGCUUGGAGGAGGAACGGAAUAACUACUAAAGCCCUUUCGAAAAUACUGUUAGCAUGGGAAUUACGGUGAAGGAUCCUACUAUUCAACAACACUACCAUCACACUCCAGUCAAACGCCGAACACGGAAGCCCAGAAAAAAGAUCAGCAACACCAUUCAAGCCAUUGAUUUCCUAAUGAGUGAAAAUGAUGAGCGGUCCACUCAGGAGAUUAAGAAUCUGCUUUCAUUAAGUUUGGAUCCAAUGAUUCGUAAAAAAAAAAAAAGAACUUUGUGUGCUGCAGGCCCAGGCAUGGAUCGAAAGUCAUGAGAAAUUCAAUGAUGUCGUCUUUACCAAAGAAACCACAUUUGCUCAUGAGCAAUUUGCAAAAAAUUGCUAUAGAAAACUGGUAGAAGCUCAACCAAGCCCUCUCCCAAGCAUCCACUCAAACUCCAUGUGUCGGGGGCAAUUUAUCGUGAGGGACCAGGCCCGUAUGUGACUUUCCAAAGUAUUAUGGCUCAAGUUUUUUGAUAAGAAAUCAUCAAGGGCUCACCAAAGUGUUGGAACCUUUGUGAGAAUUGUU